GGGCAUAUGGUGUAGUGGUUAUCACUCCUGCUUUGCAUUUACAUUGUAAGCGGUCCAGGGUUCAACUCCCUGUGUGUCCA